CGGCGGACGGGUGAGUAACACGUGGAUAACCUACCUAUAAGACUGGGAUAACUUCGGGAAACCGGAGCUAAUACCGGAUAAUAUAUUGAACCGCAUGGUUCAAUAGUGAAAGACGGUUUUGCUGUCACUUAUAGAUGGAUCCGCGCCGCAUUAGCUAGUUGGUAGGUAACGGCUUACCAAGGCACGAUGCGUAGCCGACCUGAGAGGGUGAUCGGCCACACUGGAACUGAGACACGGUCCAG
rnacentral:rRNA from 1 species